CGACUUAUAUUCUGUAGCAAGGUUAACCGAAUAGGGGAGCCGGAGGGAAACCGAGUCUUAAUUGGGCGUUAAGUUGCAGGGUAUAGACCCGAAACCCGGUGAUCUAGCCAUGGGCAGGUUGAAGGUUGGGUAACACUAACUGGAGGACCGAACCGACUAAUGUUGAAAAAUUAGCGGAUGACCUGUGGCUGGGGGUGAAAGGCCAAUCAAACCGGGAGAUAGCUGGUUCUCCCCGAAAGCUAUUUAGGUAGCGCCUCGUGAAUUCAUCUCCGGGGGUAGAGCACUGUUUCGGCUAGGGGGCCAUCCCGGCUUACCAACCCGAUGCAAACUGCGAAUACCGGAGAAUGUUAUCACGGGAGACACACGGCGGGUGCUAACGUCCGUCGUGAAGAGGGAAACAACCCAGACCGCCAGCUAAGGUCCCAAAGUCAUGGUUAAGUGGGAAACGAUGUGGGAAGGCCCAGACAGCCAGGAUGUUGGCUUAGAAGCAGCCAUCAUUUAAAGAAAGCGUAAUAGCUCACUGGUCGAGUCGGCCUGCGCGGAAGAUGUAACGGGGCUAAACCAUGCACCGAAGCUGCGGCAGCGACGCUGAUGCGUUGUUGGGUAGGGGAGCGUUCUGUAAGCCUGCGAAGGUGUGUCGUGAGGCAUGCUGGAGGUAUCAGAAGUGCGAAUGCUGACAUAAGUAACGAUAAAGCGGGUGAAAAGCCCGCUCGCCGGAAGACCAAGGGUUCCUGUCCAACGUUAAUCGGGGCAGGGUGAGUCGACCCCUAAGGCGAGGCCGAAAGGCGUAGUCGAUGGGAAACGGGUUAAUAUUCCCGUACUUGGUGUUACUGCGAAGGGGGGACGGAGAAGGCUAUGUUGGCCGGGCGACGGUUGUCCCGGUUUAAGCGUGUAGGUGUGUGUUCCAGGUAAAUCCGGUUCACUUUAACACUGAGGCGUGAUGACGAGGCACUACGGUGCUGAAGCAACAAAUGCCCUGCUUCCAGGAAAAGCCUCUAAGCAUCAGGUAACAUCAAAUCGUACCCCAAACCGACACAGGUGGUCAGGUAGAGAAUACCAAGGCGCUUGAGAGAACUCGGGUGAAGGAACUAGGCAAAAUGGUGCCGUAACUUCGGGAGAAGGCACGCUGACACGUAGGUGAAGUGAUUUACUCAUGGAGCUGAAGUCAGUCGAAGAUACCAGCUGGCUGCAACUGUUUAUUAAAAACACAGCACUGUGCAAACACGAAAGUGGACGUAUACGGUGUGACGCCUGCCCGGUGCCGGAAGGUUAAUUGAUGGGGUCAGCGCAAGCGAAGCUCCUGAUCGAAGCCCCGGUAAACGGCGGCCGUAACUAUAACGGUCCUAAGGUAGCGAAAUUCCUUGUCGGGUAAGUUCCGACCUGCACGAAUGGCGUAAUGAUGGCCAGGCUGUCUCCACCCGAGACUCAGUGAAAUUGAACUCGCUGUGAAGAUGCAGUGUACCCGCGGCAAGACGGAAAGACCCCGUGAACCUUUACUAUAGCUUGACACUGAACAUUGAGCCUUGAUGUGUAGGAUAGGUGGGAGGCUUUGAAGUGUGGACGCCAGUCUGCAUGGAGCCGGCCUUGAAAUACCACCCUUUAAUGUUUGAUGUUCUAACGUGGACCCGUGAUCCGGGUUGCGGACAGUGUCUGGUGGGUAGUUUGACUGGGGCGGUCUCCUCCUAAAGAGUAACGGAGGAGCACGAAGGUUGGCUAAUCCUGGUCGGACAUCAGGAGGUUAGUGCAAUGGCAUAAGCCAGCUUGACUGCGAGCGUGACGGCGCGAGCAGGUGCGAAAGCAGGUCAUAGUGAUCCGGUGGUUCUGAAUGGAAGGGCCAUCGCUCAACGGAUAAAAGGUACUCCGGGGAUAACAGGCUGAUACCGCCCAAGAGUUCAUAUCGACGGCGGUGUUUGGCACCUCGAUGUCGGCUCAUCACAUCCUGGGGCUGAAGUAGGUCCCAAGGGUAUGGCUGUUCGCCAUUUAAAGUGGUACGCGAGCUGGGUUUAGAACGUCGUGAGACAGUUCGGUCCCUAUCUGCCGUGGGCGCUGGAGAACUGAGGGGGGCUGCUCCUAGUACGAGAGGACCGGAGUGGACGCAUCACUGGUGUUCGGGUUGUCAUGCCAAUGGCACUGCCCGGUAGCUAAAUGCGGAAGAGAUAAGUGCUGAAAGCAUCUAAGCACGAAACUUGCCCCGAGAUGAGUUCUCCCUGAGACUUAGAGUCUCCUGAAGGAACGUUGAAGACGACGACGUUGAUAGGCCGGGUGUGUAAGCGCAGCGAUGCGUUGAGCUAACCGGUACUAAUGAACCGUGAGGCUUAACCUU
rnacentral:rRNA from 1 species